UCCCUGGUGGUCCAGUGGCUAAGACUCCAUGCUCCCAAUGCAGGUGGCCUGGGUUCAAUCCCUGGUCAGGGAA
rnacentral:tRNA from 1 species